AUGGACCAGAAUUUGCUUACUGGAUAUAUUCCUGAAUCACUUGGAAAUCUUCCAAACUUAUUUGUCUUAAGCUUGUUCAAGAACAAACUUUCCGGAUCAAUUCCACUUUCUGUUGGUAACCUGAGUCAACUGAGUGAGCUAUAUUUACAGGAAAAUAAUUUGAGUGGUCCUAUCCCAGGAGCUAUAGCAGGCUGCAAAAAGUUGGAACAACUGAACCUCUCUUGUAACAGCUUUGAUGGAAGAAUACCAAAGGAGCUCUUUACUCUUAUCUACCUUUCCCAGUGUCUGGACUUGUCUCACAACCAAUUCUCUGGACAGAUACCUCUGGAGAUUGGCAAUCUGAGAAAUCUUGGGCCACUAAAUAUUUCCCAUAAUCAACUGUCUGGACAAAUACCCCCCACUCUAGGUCAGUGCGUCCGUUUGGAGUCCCUCCACAUGGAGUGUAACCUCUUUCAUGGGAAAAUCCCUCACUCCUUCAGAAGUUUGGAAGGAAUCAUUGAGAUGGAUCUAUCUCAAAACAACUUAUCUGGUGAAAUCCCUGACUUCUUUAAGUUCUUUUAG
rnacentral:rRNA from 1 species